GGAGUGGUGACGGAGUGGGUGAACGUGGCGGUCUCGAAAUCCGUUAGGCGCGCAAGCGCCUCGUGGGGUCGAAUCCCACCCUCUCCGCCA
rnacentral:tRNA from 1 species